AUUGAACGCUGGCGGCAGGCCUAACACAUGCAAGUCGAACGGUAACAGGAAGAAGCUUGCUUCUUUGCUGACGAGUGGCGGACGGGUGAGACAUGUCUGGGAAACUGCCUGAUGGAGGGGGAUAACUACUGGAAACGGUAGCUAAUACCGCAUAACGUCGCAAGACCAAAAAGGGGGACCUUCGGGCCUCUUGCCAUCGGAUGUGCCCAGAUGGGAUUAGCUAGUAGGUGGGGUAACGGCUCACCUAGGCGACGAUCCCUAGCUGGUCUGAGAGGAUGACCGGCCACACUGGAACGGAGACACGGUCCAGACUCCUGCGGGAGGCAGCAGUGGGGAAUGUUGCACAAUGGGCGCAAGCCUGAUGCAGCCAGGCCGCGUGUAUGAAGAAGGCCUUCGGGUUGUAAAGUACUUUCAGCGGGGAGGAAGGGAGUAAAGUUAAUACCUUGGCUGAUUGACGUUACCCGCAGAAGAAGCACCGGCCAACUCCGUG
rnacentral:rRNA from 1 species